rnacentral:tRNA from 1 species
GGCGCCGUACCCAAGUGGUAAGGGAGAGGUCUGCAAAACCUUCAUUCAGCGGUUCGACUCCGCUCGGUGCCU